rnacentral:lncRNA from 1 species
GACAUGAUGAUAUUUGGGAACCUACUUCAUCUUCUGCCUCAUAUCAGCGGUCAUCUUCACGACAUCCUCUCUUUCCACCGUCUGGUGAUGCACCUAAGGCUGGGGGUUCUGGAGCUGGUGCUGGAGAUAAUGAUGAUGAUGACGAGGACACGGAGUGAUUUCUUCGUCAAGCUUAGUCUUUCUCUUUCACUGCAUUUGCUGUUUAGGAUGAUGUUUUAGUUUUAGCUCUGCUUGUUUUUCCUUUUAGGCCUGUAACUAUGACUUGACUACGCUUAUGUUUUUCUAGUAUGUUUUCUCUCUCUAUUUACUUUCUUUUGGCAAUUUUUGACAAAAAGGGGGAGAGCGUAGAUGAAGGGGGAGAGCAUGGAUGAACAGAUAUUGAACUAAAGCAAAGGAUGAUGUGUUCAAGACCAAAUGGGGAGAUGUGAACAAAGACAGAGAAGGUAUAAGAAUUUAAGGCUAAUCAAGGCUAAUCAUUUUUGAGUGAAUUGUUUUGCAGGAUUUCAAGACUUCAAGACUCCUAGUUGCGUCUAAGUCAUAGAGUCUGUUUUAGGAGUUUUGAAAUGUAUUUUGAGUUUCAAAUUGUAUUUGGAUUACACGCGAGGAGUUCAAUGUUUUGGUGAUGACAAUUGAACUUCGUUUUCUUUACAAUGUAAUUGUUGAGUUUAUGUGUGUUUU